rnacentral:rRNA from 1 species
AUUGAACGCUAGCGGCAUGCCUUACACAUGCAAGUCGAACGGCAGCGGGGGAGCUUGCUCCCGCCGGCGAGUGGCGAACGGGUGAGUAAUACAUCGGAACGUACCCAGUAGCGGGGGAUAGCCCGGCGAAAGCCGGAUUAAUACCGCAUACGCCCUACGGGGGAAAGGGGGGGAUCGCAAGACCUCUCACUAUUGGAGCGGCCGAUGGCUGAUUAGCUAGUUGGUGGGGUAAAGGCCUACCAAGGCGACGAUCAGUAGCUGGUCUGAGAGGACGACCAGCCACACUGGGACUGAGACACGGCCCAGACGCCUACGGGAGGCAGCAGUGGGGAAUUUUGGACAAUGGGCGAAAGCCUGAUCCAGCAAUGCCGCGUGUGCGAAGAAGGCCUUCGGGUUGUAAAGCACUUUUGUCAGGGAAGAAAUCGUUUGGGUUAAUACCCCGAGCAGUUGACGGUACCUGAAGAAUAAGCACCGGCUAACUACGUGCCAGCAGCCGCCGUAA